GGAUAUUUUCGGUUACCCAAAA
rnacentral:snRNA from 1 species